UGCAGAUCUUGCUGCAGCUUCUGUGCUCUCCCCUUUCUUGGAGCCCAGGACAGCCCUCCCUCGACCUCCCCCUUCCCUUCCUUCUUCCCCCUCCCAGUGUCCCUAAAGGGGCCCACCUUCAAGAGCUCCUAGCUGAGCUGAGCUGCUGCCCCCACCCCCAGUCCCAGCAGCUUGCUCUCAGGAGCCUGGGAACCGGAUCAGCCCCAGGGCCACUUCCAGAUGGAAGACGCACCUGCGGCCCACUUCCCUGGUCUGUUUGGCUGAUGGGGGCAGAAAGAAAUGACUGGCGGGGGGGCUCCCCACUGCUCUGAGCCUGAUGUCACAGAGCCUUCUCCUCUCCCUCCGCCCUUCCCCCUCUGCUCUGAGAGACUAGCCCCGCCCUACAGUGACGUCACUGUACCCACCCUCUCUCACCAUCUUGGAAGUCUUUGUCUCUGGUGGAGGCUAUGAGUGGGGUGAGCAGCUGGAGGUCCGAGUGCCCCCCCACUUUCCUUCUCCACACCCCUCCCCUCCGUUACCCCCAUCUUCCAGACUGACAGAUCCGGAGGGUCCUGCAAGUGUCGAAGUGUCUGUGAGCGAGGGCCUGGUGAAUGGGGAGUUUCCACGUACCUUGCUGUGGAACAGAAAGAGGGGACUGUUCCUGAACCUGCGGAUCUCUGUGAUUUACAGCCUGAAAGAAAAGAGUUGUUUUAAUGUGCACUUCUCUAAUUACAAGGAAUUUGGAGCAUUUUGUCUCCCGUUUGUAGAGGACACUGAGCCAGAAAAGAGGAUGUGCCUCCCUCUUGUCCAGGGUCUGCAAGGGUGUCCCAUGUAUUCCUCCCUCUCCCUAUCCUCGAGAGCCAUGCCAUGUGAGGAAUGGUAUUUCUUGAUUAGGAAGGAAAAGAAAAGUGAGCACAACUGAUGGAUGCAUUUGGGAAAAGAUGUGCAAUGUGUAACACCUGUGGACCUCUCACCUGGAUGGGGUAGGGUGAUGAUGUCUUCUUACAUUUCCUUUUCAGGCCCACUUCAUCUUUAAUGUUUUGUUAGAGGUACUUUAAAAAUUUUGCUGUGUCGUUCUUUCUACUUCAAUUGUAGUUACUGAGUAUAUAUACUGUUGGGUUGGGUUUUUUGUUUUUACUCAAUUCACUUUGCAUCAGUUCACAAAGGUUUUUCCAUACUUCUCUGUACUCUUCCCACACAUCAUUUCUUCUUGCAUGGGAACAGCAUUCCAUGCCUUUCAUGUUCUUGUCUUGUUCCAUGUCUUAUUUAGCCAUUCCCCCCUUGAUGAGCAUCUGCUUUCUUUACAAAUCAUACCUGUCACAAAGAGUGUUAUUAUAAAUAUUUUGGAAUAUAUGGGGACAUUUUUCUCAUUAAUGGCUCCAUUGGGGUAUAAUGGAGUCUUUGUUUUAGAGGCUUUGGACAUUGUUCUUUGCAGAAUUCCAAAUUACUUUGGAAAAUGGAUGUGUCAUUUCACAGCUCCUCUAAUAUUAGUUUGUGUAUAUCCC